rnacentral:rRNA from 1 species
UACGUAGGGUGCAAGCGUUGUCCGGAAUCAUUGGGCGUAAAGAGCGUGUAGGCGGUCCGUUAAGUCGGCUGUGAAAGUCCAAGGCUCAACCUUGGGAUGCCGGUCGAUACUGCCGGACUAGAGUUCGGAAGAGGCAAGUGGAAUUCCCGGUGUAGCGGUGAAAUGCGCAGAUAUCGGGAGGAACACCUAUGGCGAAGGCAGCUCGCUGGGACGUUACUGACGCUGAGACGCGAAAGCGUGGGGAGCAAACAGG